rnacentral:rRNA from 1 species
GUGAGCCGGGAAUGGAAAGACCGGUACAAGCGAGGUAAGAGUUCAGUUGGCAAAUCCGCUGAACAAUCUGAAGACGUGAUGUGGACUGAAAAUAAGUAGGGAAGCACGUGAGCUGACUGUCAAGAAAAGCCGCUAUUGUUUGCAGGAUACCCGUACCGUAAACCGACACAGGUGGAUGAGGAGAGAAUCCUAAGGCCGACGGGAGAAGCAUUGUUAAGGAACUCGGCAAAAUGACUCCGUAACUUCGGGAGAAGGAGUGCCAGUAAGAUGGCCGCAGAGAAUUGGCCCAAGCAACUGUUUAGCAAAAACACAGGUCUAUGCAAAACCGAAAGGCGAGGUACAUGGGCUGACGCCUGCCCGGUGCUGGAAGGUUAAGGGGAGAGGUUAGCGCAAGUGAAGCUUUGAACUUAAGCCCCAGUAAACGGCGGCCGUAACAAUAACGGUCCUAAGGUAGCGAAAUUCCUUGUCGGGUAAGUUCCGACCCGCACGAAAGGCGUAAUGAUUUGGGCACUGUCUCAACAAUGCACCCGGUGAAAUUGAAAUACCAGUGAAGAUGCUGGUUACCUGCGCCAGGACGGAAAGACCCCAUGGAGCUUUACUCCAGCUUGAUACUGGGAUUCGGUAUUGCAUGUACAGGAUAGGUGGGAGGCUAGGAAAUGGUAACGCCAGUUGCCAUGGAGCCGAUGUUGGGAUACCACCCUUGCAGUACUGGGUUUCUAACCAGCAGCCGUGAUCCGGCUGGGGGACAAUGUCAGGUGGGGAGUUUGACUGGGGCGGUCGCCUCCGAAAGGGUAUCGGAGGCGCUCAAAGGUUCCCUCAGAAUGGUUGGAAACCAUUCGAAGAGUGCAAAGGCAGAAGGGAGCUUGACUGCGACACCGACGGGUGGAGCAGGUACGAAAGUAGGACUUAGUGAUCCGGUGGUAUAAAGUGGGAUUGCCAUCGCUCAACGGAUAAAAGCUACCCUGGGAUAACAGGCUUAUCACUCCCAAGAGUUCACAUCGACGGAGUGGUUUGGCACCUCGAUGUCGGCUCAUCGCAUCCUGGGGCUGAAGUAGGUCCCAAGGGUUGGGCUGUUCGCUCAUUAAAGCGGUACGCGAGCUGGGUUCAGAACGUCGUGAGACAGUUCGGUCCCUAUCCGGCGUGGGCGUAAGAUAUUUGAGAGGAGCUGUCCUUAGUACGAGAGGACCGGGAUGGACUGGCCGCUGGUGUAUCUGUUGUCUUACCAAAGGCAUAGCAGAGUAGCCAAGCCGGGAAGGGAUAAACGCUGAAGGCAUCUAAGCGUGAAGCCCCCCUCAAGAUGAGAUAUCUCAUAACGUCAAGUUAGUAAGACCCCUUGAAGACGACGAGGUAGAUAGGGCAGAGGUGGAAGUGUGGUAACACAUGGAGCUGACUGUUACUAAUAGGUCGAGGGCAUAACCG